rnacentral:rRNA from 1 species
UACGGAGGGGGCUAGCGUUGUUCGGAAUUACUGGGCGUAAAGAGCGCGUAGGCGGCCCUGCAAGUCGGGGGUGAAAGCCCGAGGCUCAACCUCGGAACUGCCUUCGAUACUGCGGGUCUCGAGUCCGGGAGAGGUGAGUGGAAUUCCUAGUGUAGAGGUGAAAUUCGUAGAUAUUAGGAAGAACACCAGUGGCGAAGGCGGCUCACUGGCCCGGUACUGACGCUGAGGCGCGAAAGCGUGGGGAGCAAACAGG